rnacentral:rRNA from 1 species
GACGAACCGAGCGAACGUUGUUCGGAAUCACUGGGCUUAAAGGGCGCGUAGGCGGGUGCUCAAGUCUGUGGUGAAAUCCUCCAGCUUAACUGGAGAACGGCCGUGGAUACUGGCGACCUCGAGGGGGGUAGGGGCUUGCGGAACUGUGCGUGGAGCGGUGAAAUGCGUUGAUAUGCACAGGAACUCCGGUGGCGAAGGCGGCGAGCUGGACCCUUUCUGACGCUGAGGCGCGAAAGCCAGGGGAGCGAACGGG